AGAGUUUGAUCAUGGCUCAGGACGAACGCUGGCGGCGUGCUUAACACAUGCAAGUCGAGCGGUCCGGCAUUUAACAUUGAGUAUUCAGAGCUGAGUUGGCGAUUGAGCUGGCGUCAAGCAAAAACUUCCUUAAUAAUAUAAAUUAAAGUUUUUGCUUCACGCGCUAAAAGUGCCAACACAUGCGAAUCUGAGUAUUGAAUGUUAAAUGUCGGAUAGCGGCGGACGGGUGAGUAACGCGUGGGCAACCUGCCUCAUACAGGGGGAUAACACUGGGAAACUAGUGCUAAUACCGCAUAACAUAGAGAAGUGGCAUCACUUCACUAUCAAAGGAGCAAUCCGGUAUGAGAUGGGCCCGCGUCCGAUUAGCUAGUUGGUGAGGUAACGGCUCACCAAGGCGACGAUCGGUAGCCGAACUGAGAGGUUGAUCGGCCACAUUGGGACUGAGACACGGCCCAGACUCCUACGGGAGGCAGCAGUGGGGAAUAUUGCGCAAUGGGGGAAACCCUGACGCAGCAACGCCGCGUGAAGGAUGAAGGUUUUCGGAUUGUAAACUUCUUUGAUGAGGGACGAUAAUGACGGUACCUCAAAAACAAGCCACGGCUAACUACGUGCCAGCAGCCGCGGUAAUACGUAGGUGGCAAGCGCUGUCCGGAUUUACUGGGUGUAAAGGGCGUGUAGGCGGGGAUGCAAGUCAGAUGUGAAAUUCCGGGGCUCAACCCCGGCGCUGCAUCUGAAACUGUAUCUCUUGAGUGCUGGAGAGGAAAGCGGAAUUCCUAGUGU
rnacentral:rRNA from 1 species